rnacentral:piRNA from 1 species
UUCUUGUUCUGAAGUGUCUACUCUUU